UACGUAGGUCCCGAGCGUUGUCCGGAUUUAUUGGGCGUAAAGGGAGCGUAGACGGCAUGGCAAGUCAGAUGUGAAAGCCCGGGGCUCAACCCCGGGACUGCAUUUGAAACUGGUGGUCUUGAGUGGAUGAGAAGUACGCGGAAUGCGUGGUGUAGCGGUGAAAUGCAUAGAUAUCACGCAGAACUCCGAUUGCGAAGGCAGCGUACCGGCAUCCAACUGACGCUGAGGCACGAAAGCGUGGGGAUCAAACAGG
rnacentral:rRNA from 1 species